rnacentral:misc_RNA from 1 species
CACCAUUUUUUCAUUAACAGCCUGUAAAAAUUGUCAAGCAAAACACAACGUUGCCUUACUGAUUUUCUAUUAAUCAAAAUCAAAAGAAAAUUAAAAUCCGAGAAAUAUCAAACUUUCAAACGGACCAAAAACAGCUGUACAAACGCACCACAAACGUAUUCCAGAAAGCACAUUUUAAGCGAGCACAAAGAUGGAGAAUAACGAGGCGCCCGCACCUUCCGGUUCCAACAACAAUGACAACAACAAUGCUGCACAGAAACGCCUGCAGCAGACACAGGCCAAAGUGGACGAAGUGGUGGGCAUAAUGCGCGUCAAUGUCGAGAAGGUGCUCGAACGUGAUCAGAAACUAUCGGAGCUGGGCGAGCGAGCCGAUCAGCUAGAGCAGGGCGCCUCACAGUUCGAACAGCAGGCGGGCAAACUGAAGCGCAAACAAUGGUGGGCCAACAUGAAGAUGAUGAUCAUUCUCGGCGUCAUUGCCGUCGUCUUGCUGAUCAUUAUAAUAGUGUCGAUUUACAAUUGAUAAACAAAAGAAAAAGUUAAAGCAAAAGCAAAAAUAAUAUGCAGCAGGGCAACUUGUUGCGCUUAAUCCAAUACAUACGCAUAAUUCUAAGGCUAUCAACAACAUCAGCUACACGUAUUUAGAAACACAUAUACAUAUAUAUAUGUAUAUAUACAUGUGCACACACAGCUCAUCCAUAUGUGUGUGUGUGUGUGUAUGUAGAACAAAAUUUUAGUUUAAGCAAAAAAGAUGCUAAGCGAAAGAUUACUUUGCUAAACAAUCGUGUGUAGUUAAUUUUAAGAGCUAUGGACUUUGCCCAGCAUAACUGUAGCUGUAACUGUAAAUAUACAUACACUAUGUGUGAGAAUGUAAGCGGAGACAACAGCAGCAGCAGCAGCAGCAGCUCAGUGUCUAACUGAAGUUCUAUGCCCUAAUCAACCCGUUUCUUUUGCCUGACAUUUUUACAGUAUGCGCUUUGCCCUCCGGCAGCAGCAGCAGCAGCGAUCAUGUCACAAAAUCCGUGACCGAGGCACCCCAUUAGAUGGAACCCCAACAAGCAAGCACAAGCAUCCUGGAAUCGAAGACAACGAACAGCAACUGUGUGGCAAUUUCUGAUAGAGGACUUGCUGCUGCCUUCUUCGCAUUGGCCUUAAGCGCAACAAUUCAAUUCAAUUUAACACAAUGAAAACUGUGUCUAAAACAAAUAACAAAAACAAAAAUUGCAAAAAAAAAGAAUGAAACCAACAUAAAACACUUAACACAGAUUGUUAUUUAUAAACAUUUUAAUCUUAAAUGUAAAAAAAAAAAUCACACAUAUGUAUUGUAACAAAUUUGUGUAACAACAACAACAACAACGCACAGGUGUUGCGUAUGUCUGUGGCUGUGUGUGUGUUAGUUUUCCUUUAUCCAUUAAGCAGUCGCUUACAUCGGCACAAAUUGAAUGUUAACUGUUUACACGUUUAGCCUAGCUAAGUCUAAGGCACUUAGCACAUGUAUUACAAAAAGAAAAUUGUUUAUAACUUAAAGCCACACACACACAUACACGUUCACACGCACACAAUCACACUUUUUA